CUACAGUUCCUGGUUUCACUGUGAAGCCACAGAAGCCACCUGUGGAUGGCCGGGGACUAUGGCUGGCACCAUCCUGCACCCUGUGCAUACUUGCCCUGUGAGCUGGUGAUCUAGGGCUGAAAACAAUGCGGAGAAUCUCCGGCCAGGGCUGUGGAAUGGAUGGGGUUCUAUUUAUAAGCAGAGAGGGGCUGAACAAUGGAGCAACUGCCGCCUCAGUCACUGGGUCUGUGGCCUGACCUCCUGGGGGACUCUGGAAAACCUCAAAGCCAGACCCCGGAAGAGGCAGCAGAGGAAGGAGGAUUAGACAGCUGCAGGGCGCGGGGCCAGCUGCUCCCUCCAGGAUCUGAUCACCAUCAGAAGGCGCAAUGAGGAGCGUUCGCAGGAUGAGUUCCAGGACUCCGGCUCCAGCGGAAAGGUUCCAAGGUUAAGAAGAUCUGGUAAUGGCAGACUAUGUCAGUUUAUUGAUUUACAAAGCAAAUGUGAAUAUUAAAGGCUCAAGAGAGUCCUUUGAUAAA